AUAGAUGAGAGAAAGAGAAAGAGAAAGAGAAAGAGAGAAAGAGAGAGAGAUUGUGACAAAUUAAUUGUGGAAAGAAAGAGAGAAAAAUUAACCAGAAGACAGAGAAUUUUAUCUUCAUUGCUUAAGGACGAUCAUCAGAAUAAGAAGACAAGAUGAGGGAUUAAAAGAGAGGGAAAGAAAUUAAAAACACGAGGGAUUAACCACUGUCGACAAGAGAGAGAGAGAGAGAAAGGUUGGUUCCACUUUCUCAAUUUUUCUUCAUUAAAGAAAGAAAAGAAAGACGAUCAGGGAAAGAGAUCCACUUGUCUUACCAGUCCCGCCUUUCUCUCUGUCUUUCUCUGUCUUUUUCUCUCUUUCUUUCUAUGGAAAUUUAAGAUAUUUGUUUAUAUUCUCGUUAAAUUGAAUUGAUCCACCGCGAGCCCCAUAUAUAAAUAAGGACACUAAUUGUGUGAUUAGUCAAAUCAAUCAUCAUCCAAGACAAUCAGAGAAUAUUUUAAAUUCUAUCAAUCAUCAACCAUAAAAAUUAGAUUAAUCACCUUUACCUAAAGCUAAUAUUGUUCUUUCUCUUGUUUACUUUCUAACAGUUAAUUUCUAUUUUGGUUUGUUGUUUAUAAUCUCUUUCAACUCUGUCAACUGUCAACUUGUCGUGUUUAUCUUGAUGUUAUUCAUGUUCUACUUAUGUUCAUGUAUCAGUCUUUCCAUGGUAAUCAAUCGAUUAACCUGAUCAGUUCAAUUGGAAGUCGACGAGCAAAUUCUGGUAACGUUUUGGAACUUCGAGUGUUAACCAAAAUUCAUUUCACACCCUGAGGAGAAAAGGAACAAGAUAAUCAUCAUCAUCAUCGUCUUAAAAGAAGAAUUGUUUCUAAUUACAGGUAAUACUGAAGGUGGAAGUAUGGAAGUUUAUUGAUUAACUUUGGCAAAGUACAAUCUAAAUCGAGUUGAUUAAAUUUCACAGUUGAACUCUCAUAAUCCUCAAUAAUCACUCACUUGGUCAUCACUCACCUUGAAUACAAACACAACAAUUACCUCAAAUAACAAAGAGAAAUUAAUAUAAAUUAUGCCUUUAGCUCAGAGUCAAGUUUUAAUACUAUCUGAUCUUCAUCACAGUCGAGAACCAGUUAUUGAGAGAUCACAAUGUCACAAAUUGGACGCAAACCCAAAGACAAUAGCGAUUUCAUCAGUAUCCAACUUGGAAUCAACCCUGAAGAUUAAAAUAUCACAAACAAAAACAACAACCAAAUUAUCACCAGCUGAUCAUCAAUCAAAAUUAGAAAUCACUAAUCCAUGGGGACCCAUGUUUAAGGAUUAUGAGGCAUUUAUCGAUGCUCAUAUAUGUUAAAUUCAGUCCGAGUUUAAGGCCUGGAAUUUUUUUCCAAUCUUCUUGUUUACAAAAGUACAUUAAACUAUCUCUUCUCUCCCUCUCUCUUUCUUGUUGAGUUUUUUGUCCUUUGUCUUGGUGAAAAGGAUAAUGAAGAGAGAGAGAGAGAGAAAGAGGAUCACCAUCAUCACCAUCAUCAUUAUCAUCAUCAUCAUCAUGGUAAUUAACACCAGUUAGCAUGGAGAAAAGACUCGAAAAAAAGUUCUGUUCUGCAACAUCGCUAAUUACAAUCUACGGAACAGUGGUAAUAAUGAUUAACUCACAGUAAACAGAAUCAAGAAGAUUGUUAAAGUUUCCAAAAGUGUCUGGUUAAUUAACAUGAAUGAAACUUGAUUUACCGGUUAGAAAUCAUCUAAUUAAAAUCUAUCUGUACCUAUUUCUGUAUUAAAGAAAGAUAAUAAUUAAAAGAAUUACAAUUAAA